rnacentral:rRNA from 1 species
CAGUAGCCGCGGUAAUACGUAGGGUGCAAGCGUUAAUCGGAAUUACUGGGCGUAAAGCGUGCGCAGGCGGUUAUAUAAGACAGAUGUGAAAUCCCCGGGCUCAACCUGGGAACUGCAUUUGUGACUGUAUAGCUAGAGUACGGCAGAGGGGGAUGGAAUUCCGCGUGUAGCAGUGAAAUGCGUAGAUAUGCGGAGGAACACCGAUGGCGAAGGCAAUCCCCUGGGCCUGUACUGACGCUCAUGCACGAAAGCGUGGGGAGCAAACAGGAUUAGAUACCCCGCGUAGUCCCUGUCUCUUAUU